rnacentral:rRNA from 1 species
UACGUAGGCAGCGAGCGUUGUUCGGAGUUACUGGGCGUAAAGGGCUCGUAGGCGGCCAACUAAGUCAUACGUGAAAUCCCUCGGCUUAACCGGGGAACUGCGUCUGAUACUGGAUGGCUUGAGUUCGGGAGAGGGAUGCGGAAUUCCAGGUGUAGCGGUGAAAUGCGUAGAUAUCUGGAGGAACACCGGUGGCGAAGGCGGCAUCCUGGACCGAUACUGACGCUGAGGAGCGAAAGCCAGGGGAGCAAACGGG